AUACUUACUUGACUGAGGUAAUUCCAUGAUCAGGAAGGUGAUUUCCCCAGGAUGAGGCUCUCCCAUUGCACUUCAGGCAUACUGACCAAUGCGAUUUCUCCGAAUGUGAGAAACUCAACUGCUCAAUUUGUGAUCGUGGGGACUGUGUUCGUGCUCUCCCCU